rnacentral:rRNA from 1 species
GAUGAACGCUGGCGGCGUGCUUAACACAUGCAAGUCGAACGAACCUUCGGGUUAGUGGCGGACGGGUGAGUAACGCGUGAGAAUCUGCCCUCAGGAGGGGGACAACAGCUGGAAACGGCUGCUAAUACCCCAUAUGCCGAGAGGUGAAAUGAAUUUCGCCUGAGGAUGAGCUCGCGUCUGAUUAGCUAGUUGGUGUAGGUAAUGGCUCACCAAGGCAUCGAUCAGUAGCUGGUCUGAGAGGAUGAUCAGCCACACUGGGACUGAGACACGGCCCAGACUCCUACGGGAGGCAGCAGUGGGGAAUUUUCCGCAAUGGGCGAAAGCCUGACGGAGCAACGCCGCGUGAGGGA